UACGAAGGGGGCUAGCGUUGCUCGGAAUUACUGGGCGUAAAGCGCACGUAGGCGGCUUCUUAAGUCGGUGGUGAAAUCCUGGAGCUCAACUCCAGAACUGCCUUCGAUACUGGCGAUCUCGAGUCCGGAAGAGGUGAGUGGAACUCCUAGUGUAGAGGUGGAAUUCGUAGAUAUUAGGAAGAACACCAGUGGCGAAGGCGGCUCACUGGUCCGGUACUGACGCUGAGGUGCGAAAGCGUGGGGAGCAAACAGGG
rnacentral:rRNA from 1 species